rnacentral:rRNA from 1 species
GACGAGACGCUGGCGGCGUGCCUAACACAUGCAAGUCGAGCGGGGUUGAAGCGAGGGGUAACUCGAACUUCUACCUAGCGGCGGACGGGUGAGUAACGCGUGGGCAACCUGCCUCAAGGAUCGGGAUAACAGCUCGAAAGGGCUGCUAAUACCGGAUAUGCCUAUGGCCUCGCAUGGGGCUGUGGGCAAAGGGGAAACCCGCCUUGAGAUGGGCCCGCGUCCCAUCAGCUAGUUGGUGAGGUGAAGGCUCACCAAGGCGACGACGGGUAGCCGGCCUGAGAGGGUGACCGGCCACACUGGGACUGAGACACGGCCCAGACUCCUACGGGGGGCAGCAGUGGGGGAUCUUGCACAAUGGGCGAAAGCCUGAUGCAGCGACGCCGCGUGAGCGAAGAAGGCCUUCGGGUUGUAAAGCUCUGUCUGGAGGGACGAAGAAAGUGACGGUACCUCCGGAGGAAGCCACGGCUAACUACGUG